ACCAUGACUUCCUGUUAGGAUGGCAGCAGGAAAAAAGUUAGAAAGAUCUGAACUGCAGCUGGAGACCAAACCUGAGACCAUUUCACAACAAAAGGAGAUAAAAAAAAAAGAGUAAAUUUUUGCCCAAAAAUUUAGAAUAAAACAGGGACACUUCUGAGUUUGACAAGUUGAAAAUUUGCUAAGAAAAAAAAAACAUUUUUAUAUUAAUCCAUGUUUGAAACGUCCAUGUUUCUUUCUAGAAAAAACGUUUUUGAGUGAAAUUAGCUUCUUUUCCUCUUCACCUUUAUUCGUCAUGUAUCUGGACGGUGGGAGGAAGCCGCAGUAUCCAGGGAGAACCAGGACACGCACAGGGAGAACAUGCUAACAUGCAGAAAGACUCAUUACCCAGGCUAACGUCUGGCUGUUAGCUAGCUGUUAGCUAGCUGUGCUAACGGCUCCAUGCAGUCAGGAAGGCCAAUCAGAGCAGCUCUGCUGAAAACACACAAGGGAUUUGCUGCUGAAUUAUCAAACGCAAUCACAACAGUUUGAUAAACCAGGCUGUUCAAACAGAACCGGGUCGCGGUCUGGGUCCAGGGGAACAACAGCGGCUCCAAAAUAAAGCGGAACACUGAUGGAGUUAAACGGCCUGCGCUGCCGGCUAAGCUCCGGCUUUGGGAAAGAAAAACACCAACAAAUUAGGCGGAAACGCUGCGGCUGAACUUGUUGUCAUUCCGGAGCCAGUCAUGGCCGCCGCCGCUCGGCCGCUGUGACACCUAUCGCGACCUCGAACAAACAUGGCGAGGUCGUGACCCUGCUGUGUUUGGAUUCACAGGCCGAGGGUCCAGACUGCAGAACCGGGUCAAAGUUCCGAACAGGAAUGCAGCCGCAACCCUUUGACUAGGACAUGGACCUCAACAUGAACCUUCAGCCAAACACAACUGACUCCAGCUCCACUCACAGAAGGAAGGUCAGCAGCUUUUCUCUGGAAGUCUCAAAUUUAAGAGCAACUUUCUCCACUGUGGGAAGGUUUUACAACAUAAAACUGACUUUUAGGAAUAGAGCUAAAUUGAUGGAGGAUUUUCUGUGAUUCACAAAAUCACACGUGCAGACACGAGAAAACUGGACUUAUCAGCUUCAGUGAGGCCGAAGGAUUGUGUGAUGAUAGAAACGUCGUCCACCAGCAGACAGAAAUGAUGUUGAAAGAGAUGAACUUCCUCUCCGUCUGCUGAGUGGUUUUAUUCAUGGUCUUCUGCUUUUUGUGCUACAACUUUUCUCUGGACCUUCUGCUUCUGUGACAUUGCUUGUCCGUCAUUUACUCCUUCACAUGAAAACAUGUCUCUUUCUAACUUUGGUCAAACUGUUGCACUGAGCCUGCAGUGCUUAAACUCCAGAGCCUCAGGAUCCAGAUCAUAGAAAUAAUGAGCAACAGUUAGCUGCUGUUUUUCUGCCAUAUAAGGCAAGUGAAAAUGGAGUCAAGCACAGAUCUGAAGGUAAAACAAUGAAAAUAUGAUUUUAAAAAAUAAAUGCCCAUUCCUUCCCAUUAUGACGAACUUAAAAUUAUUUAUUUUUUGACUGUGUAACUUUUCAAAUGGCUGAGUAUUUAAAUACAUGAUGGUAUAUUUAUGUUUUGUAUAUUAGCAUCUGCUCGCUAAUUCUUCAGUCACAGUAAAAAUGCUAAUGGCAAAAUAAAGACUUGAUUACUAUGGAAACCA